rnacentral:misc_RNA from 1 species
UCCGGUUUGUCACCGGCAGUCCCAUUAGAGUGCCCAACUGAAUGUGGCAACUAAUGGCAAGGGUUGCGCUCGUUGCGGGACUUAACCCAACAUCUCACGACACGAGCUGACGACAGCCAUGCAGCACCUGUGUCCAGGUUCCCUUUCGGGCACCCCUCCAUCUCUGGAGGGUUCCUGGCAUGUCAAGGGUAGGUAAGGUGGGGAUGACGUGUCUAGGAGGGUG